AAAUACUUCGCGUGUUUGACUUGUUUGAAAAUGUUUUUAUGUUGUAUAAUAUGCUAAUUUUCACAUGCGGAUCCUUGAUUCCAGUUGCUGCUCUGGAUAAAAUAGAAGAGGCCCAGGGGAAAUAUAACGACGGACCAUUCCUCCUCGGUCAUUUCAUUCUGGUAUGUGGCUGAACUCAAGGAACAAUUCCUCCCUGCAGUUUGGUUCAAAGUCAAUUAUUUGAUAGAGUUGUGGACCACAGUUGACAUGUGGUAUUGUCGUGAUUCCUCACAUGUGGACAUAGCAUAUGUGCCAUUUAUCAGAAGGUUUCAGAUAUUCUUUCAAAACAUUAAGAACUACGACAUCACAAAGGGCAGAACCAACCUGCAGAAGUUCAUUGAGUUCUUGGAAGCUUUUUUGGAGGACUGAACAAAAUUAUUGCUGAUCGUUAUUCUUGGAAUCACACAGUAUCCGAAUACCAUGUGUAUGAGUUCUUUAGGGUGAGCAUACAAUCCCACCUUCCUUAAAAGAUACUCAAAUCCUGUAGUUAGUUUUCUUUUGUUAGUCACAUUUUCAUUUCAGUUUUGUCCAACUGGGGAGACUUUUUUU